rnacentral:rRNA from 1 species
GUGUCAGCCGCCGCGGUAAGACGAACCGUCCAAACGUUAUUCGGAAUCACUGGGCUUAAAGGGCGCGUAGGCGGCCGAGCGGGUCACGGGUGAAAUCCUCCAGCUUAACUGGAGAACUGCCCUUGAUACCACUGCGGCUCGAGGAAGGAAGGGGCAAUUGGAACUGUCGGUGGAGCGGUGAAAUGCGUUGAUAUCGACAGGAACGCCUGUGGCGAAAGCGAAUUGCUGGUCCUUUUCUGACGCUGAUGCGCGAAAGCCAGGGGAGCAAACGGGAUUAGAAACCCGUGUAGUCC